rnacentral:rRNA from 1 species
CGUAGGGACCUAGCGUUGUCCGGAAUCAUUGGGCGUAAAGCGCGCGUAGGCGGCCCGGUAAGUCCGUUGUAAAAGUCAAAGGCUCAACCUUUGAAAGCCGAUGGAUACUGCCGGGCUAGAGUCCGGAAGAGGCGAGUAGAAUUCCUGGUGUAGCGGUGGAAUGCGCAGAUAUCAGGAGGAAUACCCAUAGCGAAGGCAGCUCGCUGGGACGGUACUGACGCUGAGGCGCGAAAGCGUGGGGAGCGAACAGGAUUAGAUACCCUGGUAGUCCACGCCGUAAACGAUGGGCACUAGGUGUGGGAGGUGUCGACUCCUCCCGUGCCGACGCUAACGCAUUAAGUGCCCCGCCUGGGGAGUACGGCCGCAAGGCUA